rnacentral:tRNA from 1 species
AUAGCAGAAAGGGCAGAUGCGGGGCUGCGCGCAAAUAGAAGACUCUUAAUCAGCGGGUCCUUGGUUCGAGCCCAAGUGCGUCCACCA